UACGGAAGGCAGCAGUGGGGAAUAUUGGACAAUGGGCGAAAGCCUGAUCCAGCAAUGCCGCGUGAGUGAUGAAGGCCUUAGGGUUGUAAAGCUCUUUUACCCGGGAUGAUAAUGACAGUACCGGGAGAAUAAGCUCCGGCUAACUCCGUGCCAGCAGCCGCGGUAAUACGGAGGGAGCUAGCGUUAUUCGGAAUUACUGGGCGUAAAGCGCACGUAGGCGGCUUUGUAAGUUAGAGGUGAAAGCCUGGAGCUCAACUCCAGAAUUGCCUUUAAGACUGCAUCGCUCGAAUCCAGGAGAGGUGAGUGGAAUUCCGAGUGUAGAGGUGAAAUUCGUAGAUAUUCGGAAGAACACCAGUGGCGAAGGCGGCUCACUGGACUGGUAUUGACGCUGAGGUGCGAAAGCGUGGGGAGCAAACGAGGAUUAGAUACC
rnacentral:rRNA from 1 species